GUGAGUAGCGAUGGGGGUCAGAUGGCCGUGGAAGAUAUGUGACGAUUGCCCCCUUACUACUAUCGUCUGCUCAACAG
ensembl:ncRNA mir-4917 mir-4917 stem loop